rnacentral:rRNA from 1 species
UACGUAGGGUGCGAGCGUUAAUCGGAAUUACUGGGCGUAAAGCGUGCGCAGGCGGUUAUAUAAGUCAGAUGUGAAAUCCCCGGGCUCAACCUGGGACCUGCAUUUGAGACUGUAUAGCUAGAGUACGGUAGAGGGGGAUGGAAUUCCGCGUGUAGCAGUGAAAUGCGUAGAUAUGCGGAGGAACACCGAUGGCGAAGGCAAUCCCCUGGGCCUGCACUGACGCUCAUGCACGAAAGCGUGGGGAGCAAACAGG